CCUACGGGAGGCAGCAGUGAGGAAUAUUGGUCAAUGGACGAGAGUCUGAACCAGCCACGUAGCGUGAAGGAUGACUGCCCUCUGUGUUUUAAACUUCUUUUAUAAAGGAAUAAAACGCGGCACGUGUGCCUUUUUGCAUGUACUUUAUGAUUAAGGCUCCGCUAACUCUGUGCCAGCAGCCGCGGUAAUACGGAGGGUCCGAGCGUUAUCCGUAUUUAUUGGGUUUACAGGGAGCGUAGUUGGAGUGUUAAGUCAGUUGUGAAAGUUUGCGGCUCAACCGUAAAAGUGCAAUUGAGACUGGCAGUCUUGAGUACAGGUGAGGUAGGCGGAAUUCGUGGUGUAGCGGUGAAAUGCUUAGAUAUCACGAAGAACCCCGAUUGCGAAGGCAGCUUACUAAACUGUAACUGACAUUGAUGCUCGAAAGUGUGGGGAUCAAACAGGAUUAGAUACCCCGGUAGUC
rnacentral:rRNA from 1 species